UACGGAGGGGGGCUAGCGUUGUUCGGAAUUACUGGGCGUAAAGCGCACGUAGGCGGCUUUGUAAGUUAGAGGUGAAAGCCCGGGGCUCAACUCCGGAAUUGCCUUUAAGACUGCAUCGCUAGAAUUGUGGAGAGGUAAGUGGAAUUCCGAGUGUAGAGGUGAAAUUCGUAGAUAUUCGGAAGAACACCAGUGGCGAAGGCGACUUACUGGACACAUAUUGACGCUGAGGUGCGAAAGCGUGGGGAGGCAAACAGG
rnacentral:rRNA from 1 species